UACGGAGGGUGCAAGCGUUAUCCGGAUUUACUGGGUUUAAAGGGUGUGUAGGCGGACUUUUAAGUCAGCGGUGAAAUCUCCGGGCUCAACCCGGAAACUGCCAUUGAUACUAUUUGUCUUGAAUGUUGUUGAGGUGGGCGGAACGGGUCAUGUAGCGGUGAAAUGCAUAGAUAUGACCCGGAACACCGAUUGCGAAGGCAGCCCACUAAGCAACGAUUGACGCUGAGGCACGAAAGCGUGGGGAUCAAACAGGG
rnacentral:rRNA from 1 species